UACGUAGGUGACCAGCGUUGUCCGGAUUUACUGGGCGUAAAGAGCGCGCAGGCGGUUGUGCAAGUCGCGUGUGAAAGCCCACGGCUCAACCGUGGAAGUGCAUGGGAAACUGCAAAAGCUUGAGUACUUAAGAGGAUCGCGGAAUUCCCGGUGUAGAGGUGAAAUUCGUAGAUAUGGGGAGGAACACCGGUGGCGAAGGCGGGCCAUCUGGGACGGAAUACUGACGCUGAGACGCGAAAAGCGUGGGGGAGCAAACAGG
rnacentral:rRNA from 1 species